rnacentral:lncRNA from 1 species
GAGGCAGGAGAAUUGCUUGAACCCAGGAGGCGGAGGUUGCAGUGAGCCGAGAUCGCGCCACUGCACUCCAGCUCUGGGCGACAGAGCAAGACUCCAUCUCGGGAGGGAACAAAAAAGUAAAUUUCAACAUUGUAAUCAUUAACCUCAAUUAUCCAUAAAACUAACUCCCUAGAAGGUCUCAGGUGGGCAGUUUUACUAUGCUCAAAGCUAAAUGUGUGGGGUGCAAUGAUCAGUAAUAGACCACUACUGAUUAUCCAAACAAAUGAUUACUAGUCAGGCAGCUAGAAUGCAACUAACAACAAAUUUACUUAAGUGUAUGUCUAAUCUGAGCUCCAGAUCCACACCUCCAGUGACCUGGGAGGUAGCACAGUAUGACAGUUAAAGAAUCAGGCUUGGAUUCAGACAGACUCGUUCCAGUCUCAGUUCUGCUAUGUAUUAUCUAGAAGGUCUUGGACAUGUGAGAAAAAGUUGGUCAGAUAAAAAGUGUUACAUAGCCGGGUGCGGUGGCUUGCGCCUGUAAUCUCAGCACUUUAGGAGGCUGAGGUGGGUGGAUUAUUUAACGUCAGGAGUUCGAGACCAACCUGGCCAACAUGGUUAAGACUCCGUCUCUACUAAAAAUACAAAAAUCAGCCAGGCGUGGUGGCGAGCGCCUGUAAUCACAGCUAGUGGGGAGGCUGAGGCAGAAGAAUCGCUUGAACCCAGGAGGUGGAGGCUGCAGUGAGCCGAGAUCGUGCCACUGCAUUCCAGCCUGGG